rnacentral:rRNA from 1 species
UACGUAGGGGGCAAGCGUUGUCCGGAAUCAUUGGGCGUAAAGCGCGUGUAGGCGGCUCGAUGAGUCCGCUCUGAAAGCCCGGGGCUCAACCCCGGGAGGCGGGCGGAUACUGUCGGGCUAGAGUCCGGAAGGGGCGAGUGGAAUUCCUGGUGUAGCGGUGAAAUGCGUAGAUAUCGGGAGGAACGCCAGUGGCGAAGGCGAGUCCCUGGACAACACCUGACGCUGAGGCACGAAAGCUAGGGGAGCAAACAGG